rnacentral:rRNA from 1 species
GAUGAACGCUGGCGGCGUGCCUAACACAUGCAAGUCGAACGGACUUAAUAUGAAACCUAGUGAAUGUUAAGUUAGUGGCGGACGGGUGAGUAACGCGUGGAUAACCUGCCGUAUGCAGGGGGAUACCAACUGGAAACAGUUGCUAAUACCGCAUAAGCGCACAGUGCUGCAUGGCACAGUGUGAAAAGAAAUUCGGCAUACGAUGGAUCCGCGUCCGAUUAGCCAGUUGGCGGGGUAACGGCCCACCAAAGCGACGAUCGGUAGCCGGCCUGAGAGGGCGGACGGCCACAUUGGGACUGAGACACGGCCCAA